GCUUCUGCGGCAAGGAGCGGUCAGCACUUCCAGGGGGCGAUGAUCCACUUUCAGCAGCUGGCCUGAACGCCAGCACUCCACACCGCAGCAAGCCUGCCUGCUUGCACGAGGAGCUUACUUUGGGCAGAAGCAGAGGCUUUCAGGGAAAACAAAGAUCAUUAACAAUGCUCUUCCUCCUCUCUGUGCCAUCCGGAGAAGGGCUGCUGCUCGGGUGGGGUUUUUGAUGUUUCUGACUUAAAUUUUCCUCCUGUUUGCUGCAAAAACAGUGUUCUUUUCGCUCUCAUGGCUACAUUUUCCCCAAUCUGUUCCCUCCUCUAUUUAAUUAGGAAGAUUGGUGACUGCAAGAAUACAAAUAUAGUUACAAAGAACUUUUUUAUGCAACUUAGCUAAACUGACACAUGUUCAGGAACUGAUCCUGACCAUUUAAGAAUUUCAAAAUGUGCUAAGUAGCCUCUCAGUCUUUUGUCUAAAUGAUUCAUCCAGCCAGCAGACAGGAAAGAAUACGAGUAACCCUUUUUUUAAGGAUGACUGUAAUUCUUGUUAGCAACUUGCUCUUCUAAUACUGCCUAUUCACCCGGAGGAAGAUGAGAAAGUGGACUAACAGUCUAGCAUUGUAAACUGUAUCUAAUUCUGGAAGCUGAAUAUAAUAAUCAACAGACAGCAGCAGCCAGGAGGCCCCGAAGAGAGGUCAAGGGAACAGUUGGCAGGAACUCACAGGGAGCUCACGAGCCUGGGAGGAGCCUGCCCGAACUUGCAGCUGGGAGCAGAAAUCACAAGGUUUAUUCAAAUUGCUAGCAGCAAAUUUAACAUCUACAGAGUUAACGUGACAAUGAACAAAAAAUAAGGGAGGCUUCUUGCUUCAUCUUUUUGUUUAUCCAAUUGCUCACUGCUGUGGGCGUUUGGGUAGCGGUUUUGGUGGCACCUGAAUCAAAGGAAACAGCUGUGUGGCUCCCAAAGCCCGCCUGCCUACAGCAGCAGUGGUUCCGACCCUCCUUGGAGAAACCGUGUUGGUUCUGACUGGAACAAUGACUAAGCCCUGACAGGCCGCAAGCUCCGGGCUGCACUGAGGUAUGACACAGUACCUGUUUGGUGAAGCGACAUUACAUAACUGCUAUCUUUGGCCUCUCCAGCCAAAUGAAUCAUCAGUUUCAUGGGGCCUUUUGUCAACAUCAUUAUCCCUGUCACCUCCAAUUAGCAUUUGCAGAGCACCCACAUGGAGAUGACACUGUGUUUUAUACCUGACAGAACACAAGGAAGACAGAGACUACAACUGAUAAAGUAAACUGUCAGAAGUGUACAUCUGAAUAUGAACCACUGAACAAACAUACCUGUAAAUCCGAGCCUCUCUAGCUCACACUGGUAGAAUA